CACGUAGGGCGCAAGCGUUGUCCGGAAUUAUUGGGCGUAAAGAGCUCGUAGGCGGUCUGUUGCGUCCGCUGUGAAAACUCGGGGCUUAACCCCGAGCCUGCAGUGGAUACGGGCAGACUAGAGGUAGGUAGGGGAGAAUGGAAUUCCCGGUGUAGCGGUGAAAUUCGUAGAUAUCGAGAGGAACACCGGUGGCGAAGGCGGCCUUCUGGACAGUGACUGACGCUGAGACGCGAAAGCGUGGGGAGCAAACAGG
rnacentral:rRNA from 1 species